UGUUCUGUGGCUUAGUUGGUUAAAGCGCCGGCUUAGCGAAUACGGAGUCGUGGGGUCGAAUCCCACCAGAACUU
rfam:Aedes albopictus isolate Foshan contig97839, whole genome shotgun sequence.